CCCUUAGAUGUUCUGGGCCGCACACGCGCUACACUGAAGGAGGCAGCGUGUACUCCUGGAUCGAAAGAUUUGGGUAACCCGCGAAUCUCCUUCGUGCUAGGGAUUGAGGUUUGCAAUUAUCCUUCAUGAACGAGGAAUUCCCAGUAAGUGCAGGUCAUAAGCUUGCGCUGACUACGUCCCUGCCCUUUGUACACACCGCCCGUCGCUACUACCGAUUGAAUGAUUUAGUGAGGACUUCGGACUGGGACCGAUGCGGCUUUCGGGCUGCGUCGGUAUUCUGGAAAGAUGUCCAAACUGUAUCAUUUAGAGGAAGUAAAAGUCGUAACA
rnacentral:rRNA from 1 species